GCCAUCUUCUCCUACACGACGCUUUCUUCUUCCUUCUACUUGAAGCUUCUGCAAUUUGACGAAAGAAACAAUAAAGAGGAUGGCCAGCCUAUGUCUUGAUUCAUGUUUUUGUUUCAAGGGAACAUGUGCUAAAACUUUAAGCUGACCUCAAAGAAAGAAACUGGACCGAGUGGAAGUAAACUGACGGCUUCAAGAGGAGUUGAAUUUGAGCUCGAGAUACUGGAGGCUGAGCAUGCUUUUGUGGCAGAUAAAGUUGGACAACUACAAGAAAAGGUGAGGC